rnacentral:tRNA from 1 species
GCGGAUGUGGCGGAAUGGCAGACGCAUCAGACUCAAAAUCUGACGCUCGCGAGGGCGUGUGGGUUCAAGUCCCACCAUCCGCA